ensembl:snoRNA
ACGGUUGUAGCCAUGGGAUCUCCAACUGCAUACCAGAGUAACUGUAGAGACUUUGACAGCCCAGGUGAGCAUGGUGCCUGCAGCUGCCACUCAGCUUUCCCAUGUGC